rnacentral:rRNA from 1 species
GAUGAACGCUGGCGGCGUGCCUAAUACAUGCAAGUCGAGCGCACCGACUAGGAGCUUGCUGCCGUGAGGUUGGGGGCGGCAGAAUGAGUAACACAUGGACAGCCUAACAAUUAAACUGAGCUUCAUCCGAGACACCGUAGCUGAUACCGGAGAAUAUACUGUACAGGAUGGUUCCAUAGUGACAGGCGGUUUUGGUGUCUCUGAUGCAUGGACCUGGGCGGCGUUAACUAUUUGGCAAGGUAACGGCUUACCAAGGCAACGAUGCGUAGCAGACGGGAAAGGUGGAUCGGCCACACGGGAACUGAGACACGGUCCGGACUCCUACGGGAGGCAGCGGUAGGGAAUCUUCCGCAAUGGGCGAAAGCUUGACGGAGCAACGCCGCGUGAGUGAUGAGGGACUUCGGAUCGUAAAACUCGGUUAUUAGGAAAGAACAAAUGUGUAAGUAACUAUGCACGUCUUGACGGUACCUAAACAGAAAGCAACGGCUAACUACGU